UUGCUUUGCUUAUAUGGAUUUAUUUCAGAUAUUUUUCCUUUUCCUACAGCACAGUUUUUACUCAUUACUCCAUUUACUGAGCUGUUCUUUUUUUUAUAGAAAUUUGAAUGGAAAGAGAUUAUUUUGUUGAAGAAAUUCCAUCGAUGGACACCAUAAAGACUCCAUAUCUGAUCUGUGUUGAAGUUUUGGAUUCAUUAACGGCUGACUCCUCAUAAAACACGUCAAAAACAUCGGAGAGCAAAUCUCUUCUUCAAACAAGGUUUUUCAAUCACUCCGACCGUUGUUGGCGUCAACUCCCAUGAGAUCACCAAAUCCGAAUCAAGCUCUGGGUUCGACGUAAUGGGAUUAAUAUCGUGCUCAAUAUCAGUUGACGUGUGGCGGAAGAUUAUUUCUUGCAUUCAUACAAUGAAAGAAUUUCAAAUUGUGACGGAAAGUACGUAAUAUUGGGCUUGAACUGGUAAAGUGCACCUUAACUAUUUUUAAUGCAAUGAAUCGCUGUUUUUUUUUUAUUUGUGAAUUUAAACGCUGAACUUAAAAUUUCUCGGUGCAUUUCAUGAAAUCUUUAUUUUAUCCAAAUUUUCUAAGUUUUUCGAUGCCGUGAAUCUCUAUAGUAGAAACAAUAUCUUUAUAGUUUCCAUAGUUUUAUUCAUUGAAUUAAAGGAUAGGAUAUGACAUCAAGUUUUCGCAUCCUGUUCCUAUUGUUUAGAGAGAGGAGAUGAAAUAUCCGUGCAAUAUUUAACACUUAUUGUUGCAACACGUUUAAAUCAAUUUAACAGGAAAACAGUUUCUUUAUCGCUUUAGUAGAAUUAGAAUGGAACAAAAUUCAAUUAUACCAUAAAUUAGAACAAAUUAGAAAUGUUUCACGUGCAUUCUUUAAAUACCACAGACUGGAAUCGUAUCAUGUCAUGUACCCUUUGUUACCCUAUUGUAUGUGUAUUUUCCCCGAGCUCCACGACGUAUUUCGCGUAAAGAAGUUCGCAACAGUAAAUAUAAAAAAUAAGAAAAUAAUAAAACACAACAUGAUGACAUAAUGACUUAUGCUAGUGCCAAUCUCCAACCAACUUCCAUAAUCACGCACGAAAUAGAAGAACUGCAACGCCAUCAAGUCCGUCAUUAUCAACACGAACAGGAACAAACGAUUGACUGGCACCCUACAAACCACGUGAACAGCAUCGAAGACGCACGUGACAGUAACGAACGGAAUGAGGAUUUUCAGGAUCAACAACGCACCCAUAAUGAAUGGUGAAAAAACUGUGAGAAAACAAUAGACAGUCGCUGGAUCAAAAGUAUUAAUGCUUGCGAUAUUUCCUGUGCCAAAGAAUGCUGUUAUUAUGAAGUAGACGAAGAAGAAAGAAGAACGUAGGUCAUCCAUACUCACUUCCCUUGCAUGGCCUUCAAAUGGUUCAUUUACUGUAACAUUAACCAAUGAAAUGAAAUUGUUGCCAGUUGAUAGUUGAUAUUCCAACGUUAACCACAGUGCCAUAGCUGAUGAUAGGACAACGAAAAAUAAUGCUUCGUACGAUGUGCACAGUAGUACAUACACGGACAUCAAGGAUAUGUUGGUACUUAAUAGUCGCAAAACUAGAGAGUCUAUUACCAUUGGUGGUAGAACAAUACAACAAAAGAGUGUUGACCAACUGAAUAUGGAAUUGAGUAUUGGUAGGCCAAGCUUUAAUGAUAUAUUGUACCUGCUGUGAUUGAGAAUAAGUAUGGCUAAAAUCAAAAUCAAAAACUGUAUACUAAAGACUUUCUUUGUCCUUGUUGUUAGAGUUCCUUUGUUCUUCUUGUAAGCUAAUAUAAUUAAAAUUGCUUCUAUUGCUGAAA